rnacentral:rRNA from 1 species
CCCUUAGAUGUCCUGGGCCGCACGCGCGCUACACUGAACGGAUCAGCGCGUUUUCCCUUCCCGAGAGGGACGGGUAACCUGCUGAACCCCGUUCGUGGUAGAGAUCGGGGCUUGCAAUUAUUCCCCGUGAACCAGGAAUGCCCAGUAAGUGCAAGUCAUAAGCUUGCGUUGAUUACGUCCCUGCCCUUUGUACACACCGCCCGUCGCUACUACCGAUUGAACGUUUUAGUGAGGUACUCGGACUGAGCCUCAGAAGAUUCACGUCUUUUGUGCUGCUCGGGAAGAUUCCCAAACUUGAGCGUUUAGAGGAAGUAAAAGUCGUAACA